GGGUGCGUAACGCGUAUGCACUUGCCGUACGGGGAUAGCCUUUCGAAAGGAGAGUAAUACCGCGUAACAUUAUGGUCUCGCAUGAGACUAUAAUUAAACCUUCGGGGGUUAACGAUAGGCAUGCGUAACAUUAGCUAGUUGGUGAGGUAAUGGCUCACCAAGGCUACGAUGUUUAGGGGGUCUGAAGGAUGGUCCCCCACACUGGCACUGAGAUACGGGCCAGACUCCUACGGGAGGCAGCAGUCGGGAAUAUUGGGCAAUGGACGGAAGUCUGACCCAGCCAUACCGCGUGCAGGAAGAAGGUCCUAUGGAUUGUAAACUGCUUUUGUUUGGGAAGAAAAGAGGGUUUCGACCCUAUUGACGUUCCAGACGAAUAAACCACGGUAACUACGUUGCCAGCAGCCGCGGUAAUACGUAGGGUGGGCAAGCGUUUAUCCCGGGAUUUUAUUGGGGUUUUAAAAGGGGUGCGUUAGGGCGGGCAAAAUUAAAGUUCCAGAGGGUUGAAAAGGCUGGGUUUGGCUUUAACAAAUUCAAAAUUUGGCCUUUGGAUUAUGGUUGGUCCUUUGAAAUUACGUUUGAAGGUGGGUUGGAAAUUGGAGU
rnacentral:rRNA from 1 species